GGUGGUUCUUGGGUGAUGCACCCCGGAAUUUGGCUCCCUCCUCUCUGGUUCCGGGUGUCACCAGAGAACCACA
rfam:Myotis davidii contig140607, whole genome shotgun sequence.